rnacentral:lncRNA from 1 species
AUGGAGGUUGGGCCCAGAGGAAGUGGAGUGACAGCAGGUGUAGAAUGGUUUCUGUUUGCUUCUCGGUUCUCAAGUGUUUCCUCUGAUAACAUUCACAGACAGCAGCUCUGCAGGACAGUUACUGCCCACAUGGAGAGCAAGAGCUGCAGAGGAGAAGAAAGGAACACAGGUGGUGAAUUGCAGUGCAUGGUUGGUGAGGACUCAGCAGCAGAGAGGAACAAGACCAGCAGAAGUCACAGGCAGAAAGGGCCAGAAGUACUGAUGUCCGCACCCAUGCCAGGUUAAGUGUGUCAGAUCUACCAUCUGUGUGAAACACCCAUGGAGCAUCUGCUGCUGGACAGGCACCAACAGGACAAGUUUCAGCUCUAAGGUGCCCACAGGGGACAAAGACAAAUCACAUCAUUUACCAUUAGGACAUGAAGUAGAAAUAGUAAAUCCCUUAAGAGAAAAUAGAGGUAAGGGACAUGGAGCUCUAUUUCUUUGUUGCUGAGGCCACGUAAGGAAACUCCAGGGAGAGGAGGGCACUGGAGCUGGAUGGGGAAGGGCAUUCCUGGAGGAAGGAACAGCAUCAGGAAGUGCAGAGGCAGUCUUGAAAGUCAGGGAGGGAGGGUCCUGGGCUGGAACGCAAGGAGGGUGUCAG